UAAGGAAUAUUGGUCAAUGGAGGCAACUCUGAACCAGCCAUGCCGCGUGCAGGAAGACGGCCCUCUGGGUUGUAAACUGCUUUUAUUCGGGAAUAAACCUACUUACGUGUAAGUAGCUGAAUGUACCGAAGGAAUAAGGAUCGGCUAACUCCGUGCCAGCAGCCGCGGUAAUACGGAGGAUCCAAGCGUUAUCCGGAUUUAUUGGGUUUAAAGGGUGCGUAGGCGGCCUAUUAAGUCAGGGGUGAAAGACGGUAGCUCAACUAUCGCAGUGCCCUUGAUACUGGUGGGAUUGAAUGGACUAGAGCUAGGCAGAAUGUGACAAGUAGCAGUGAAAUGCAUAGAUAUGUCACAGAACACAGAUUGACAAGGCAGCUUACUAAGGUCUUAUUGACGCUGAGGCACGAAAGCGUGGAGAUCAAA
rnacentral:rRNA from 1 species